rnacentral:rRNA from 1 species
GGACCUGACUGCUAUCGGAUUGAUACUAAGCCAUGCGAGUCAUUGUAGCAAUACAAGGCAUACGGCUCAGUAACGCGUAGUCAACCUAACCUAUGGACGGGAAUAACCUCGGGAAACUGAGAAUAAUGCCCGAUAGAACAUUAUGCCUGGAAUGGUUUAUGUUCCAAAUGAUUUAUCGCCGUAGGAUGGGACUGCGGCCUAUCAGUUUGUUGGUGAGGUAAUGGCCCACCAAGACUAUUACAGGUACGGGCUCUGAGAGGAGUAGCCCGGAGAUGGGUACUGAGACACGGACCCAGGCCCUAUGGGGCGCAGCAGGCGAGAAAACUUUGCAAUGUGCGAAAGCACGACAAGGUUAAUCCGAGUGGUUUCUGCUAAAGAAACCUUUUGUCAGUCCUAGAAACACUGAUGAAUAAGGGGUGGGCGAAGUUCUGGUGUCAGCU